GACGAACGCUGGCGGCGUGCUUAACAUAUGCAAGUCGAGCGAUGAAGUUCCUUCGGGAACGGAUUAGCGGCGGACGGGUGAGUAACACGUGGGUAACCUGCCUCAUAGAGGGGAAUAGCCUUCCGAAAGGAAGAUUAAUACCGCAUAAGAUUGUAGUAUCGCAUGAUACAGCAAUUAAAGGAGCAAUCCGCUAUGAGAUGGACCCGCGGCGCAUUAGCUAGUUGGUGAGGUAACGGCUCACCAAGGCGACGAUGCGUAGCCGACCUGAGAGGGUGAUCGGCCACAUUGGGACUGAGACACGGCCCAGACUCCUACGGGAGGCAGCAGUGGGGAAUAUUGCACAAUGGGGGAAACCCUGAUGCAGCAACGCCGCGUGAGUGAUGAAGGUCUUCGGAUUGUAAAACUCUGUCUUCAGGGACGAUAAUGACGGUACCUGAGGAGGAAGCCACGGCUAACUACGUGCCAGCCGCCGCCGUAA
rnacentral:rRNA from 1 species